GAUGAACGCUGGCGGUAUGCUUAACACAUGCAAGUCGAACGGUCACUUCGGUGAUAGUGGCGGACGGGUGAGUAACGCGUGAGAAUCUGUCUUCAGGUCUGGGACAACUGUUAGAAAUGACUGCUAAUACCGGAUGUGCCUUUGGGUGAAAGAUUUAUUGCCUGAAAAAGAGAUCGAGUCAGAUUAGCUAGUAGGUGGUGUAAGAGACUACCUAGGCUCCGAUCUGUAGCUGUUCUGAGAGGACGAUCAGCCACACUGGAACUGAGCCACAGUCCAGAAUCCUACGGGAUGCAGCAGUGGGGAAUUUUCCGACAUGGGCGAAAGCAUGACGGUGCAAGACCGCGUGAGCUACGAAGGCUGUUGGGUCGUAAACCUCUUUUCUCAAGGCAGAUGAUGACGGUACUUGAGGAAUAAGCCUCGGCUAACUCUGUG
rnacentral:rRNA from 1 species